rnacentral:lncRNA from 1 species
AGAGUCCUAAGGAAAGGAGACUUCACUCUUGAAAAUGGAGACACUAUCGAAUCCAUGGAAGAGGGUGAAGUGUACAAGUAUUUGGGAUUCCAGCAGGCCAGACUCACAGAACAGAAGAAAAUUAAACAAACACUGUUAAAAUUGUACACCAAAAGAUUAAAUAACAUUCUCAAAACACAUUUCAAUGGGAAAAACACAGUGAAAGCCAUCAACAGAUUUGCCAUACCAGUACUGACUUACCCCUUUGAAGUGAUACAGUGGACACAGACAGAACUAGAAUCACUCCAAAUAAAAACAUGAACAAUG